CCGGAUGCUCCAGAUGACCGCAUGGGAUUCUGGGAAAGCUUUUGCGGCAUGGGAUGGGGUCGCGUCCUAUCAGCUUGUUGGUGGGGUGAUGGCCCACCAAGGCUUCGACGGGUAGCCGGCCUGAGAGGGCGACCGGCCACAUUGGGACUGAGAUACGGCCCAGACUCCUACGGGAGGCAGCAGUGGGGAAUAUUGCGCAAUGGGCGAAAGCCUGACGCAGCGACGCCGCGUGCGGGAUGGAGGCCUUCGGGUUGUAAACCGCUUUUAUCGGGGAGCAAGCGAGAGUGAGUGUACCCGUUGAAUAAGCACCGGCUAACUACGUGCCAGCAGCCGCGGUAAUACGUAGGGUGCAAGCGUUAUCCGGAUUUAUUGGGCGUAAAGGGCUCGUAGGCGGUUCGUCGCGUCUGGUGUGAAAGUCCAUCGCUUAACGGUGGAUCUGCGCCGGGUACGGGCGGGCUGGAGUGCGGCAGGGGAGACUGGAAUUCCCGGUGUAA
rnacentral:rRNA from 1 species